rnacentral:rRNA from 1 species
GAUGAACGCUGGCGGCAGGCCUAACACAUGCAAGUCGAGCGGUAGCACAGAGAGCUUGCUCUCGGGUGACGAGCGGCGGACGGGUGAGUAAUGUCUGGGAAACUGCCUGAUGGAGGGGGAUAACUACUGGAAACGGUAGCUAAUACCGCAUAAUGUCGCAAGACCAAAGUGGGGGACCUUCGGGCCUCAUGCCAUCAGAUGUGCCCAGAUGGGAUUAGCUAGUAGGUGGGGUAACGGCUCACCUAGGCGACGAUCCCUAGCUGGUCUGAGAGGAUGACCAGCCACACUGGAACUGAGACACGGUCCAGACUCCUACGGGAGGCAGCAGUGGGGAAUAUUGCACAAUGGGCGCAAGCCUGAUGCAGCCAUGCCGCGUGUGUGAAGAAGGCCUUCGGGUUGUAAAGCACUUUCAGCGGGGAGGAAGGCGAUAAGGUUAAUAACCUUGUCGAUUGACGUUACCCGCAGAAGAAGCACCGGCUAACUCCGUGCCAGCAGCCGCGGUAAUACGGGGGGUGCAAGCGUUAAUCGGAAUUACUGGGCGUAAAGCGCACGCAGGCGGUCUGUCAAGUCGGAUGUGAAAUCCCCGGGCUUAACCUGGGAACUGCAUUCGAAACUGGCAGGCUAGAGUCUUGUAGAGGGGGGUAGAAUUCCAGGUGUAGCGGUGAAAUGCGUAGAGAUCUGGAGGAAUACCGGUGGCGAAGGCGGCCCCCUGGACAAAGACUGACGCUCAGGUGCGAAAGCGUGGGGAGCAAACAGGAUUAGAUACCCUGGUAGUCCACGCCGUAAACGAUGUCGAUUUGGAGGUUGUGCCCUUGAGGCGUGGCUUCCGGAGCUAACGCGUUAAAUCGACCGCCUGGGGAGUACGGCCGCAAGGUUAAAACUCAAAUGAAUUGACGGGGGCCCGCACAAGCGGUGGAGCAUGUGGUUUAAUUCGAUGCAACGCGAAGAACCUUACCUGGUCUUGACAUCCACAGAACUUUCCAGAGAUGGAUUGGUGCCUUCGGGAACUGUGAGACAGGUGCUGCAUGGCUGUCGUCAGCUCGUGUUGUGAAAUGUUGGGUUAAGUCCCGCAACGAGCGCAACCCUUAUCCUUUGUUGCCAGCGGUUCGGCCGGGAACUCAAAGGAGACUGCCAGUGAUAAACUGGAGGAAGGUGGGGAUGACGUCAAGUCAUCAUGGCCCUUACGACCAGGGCUACACACGUGCUACAAUGGCAUAUACAAAGAGAAGCGACCUCGCGAGAGCAAGCGGACCUCAUAAAGUAUGUCGUAGUCCGGAUUGGAGUCUGCAACUCGACUCCAUGAAGUCGGAAUCGCUAGUAAUCGUAGAUCAGAAUGCUACGGUGAAUACGUUCCCGGGCCUUGUACACACCGCCCGUCACACCAUGGGAGUGGGUUGCAAAAGAAGUAGGUAGCUUAACCUUCGGGAGGGCGCUUACCACUUUGUGAUUCAUGA